ACCAGAAUCAGAAGGCUCCCACCAAGGGAUGCGACUUGAAUCCCACUAAACUUUAAGUUAUGGCUGCUGCCUAGUCACUUCAGCACACGUGUACCAAGAGAACUGCAGCCAAAUACAGGAAUCAACAUACUGUCAGGAAUAAUUAUCCUGAUUGGAAAGAGGAAGAACUGCAGUUAUAUAAUGAGACCAGGAAGAACAGAUUUGGCAAUCUCAUUGAUCCACCAGGGCAUCUCUCAUGGUUCCUUCAUUCGAUUUUGUCAUUAAAUGGAUGGGGAAAGCAGACAAAGCCUGAGAAGGACAUUAUGGCCAGAGGAUCAGACCACUCAAAGAAGAUGGUCUGAGUCACCUUUCCAGGCAUCCAACAUUUUCAAAUGACACAGGAUAGAAAGUGCCAGAAACCAGAGAACUGGCAAAGCUGAGAUGGGAGAAGAGAGUCUACAAUGAUUGACAAGUUAAAAGAAAUUAAAACUGGCCUUUCUAAUUU
ensembl:lncRNA